rnacentral:rRNA from 1 species
CCUACGGGUGGCAGCAGUGGGGAAUAUUGCACAAUGGACGAGAGUCUGAACCAGCCAAGUAGCGUGAAGGAUGACUGCCCUAUGGGUUGUAAACUUCUUUUAUAUGGGAAUAAAACGUUCCACGUGUGGGAUUUUGUAUGUACCAUAUGAAUAAGGAUCGGCUAACUCCGUGCCAGCAGCCGCGGUAAUACGGAGGAUCCGAGCGUUAUCCGGAUUUAUUGGGUUUAAAGGGAGCGUAGGUGGAUUGUUAAGUCAGUUGUGAAAGUUUGCGGCUCAACCGUAAAAUUGCAGUUGAAACUGGCAGUCUUGAGUACAGUAGAGGUGGGCGGAAUUCGUGGUGUAGCGGUGAAAUGCUUAGAUAUCACGAAGAACUCCGAUUGCGAAGGCAGUUCACUGGACUGCAACUGACACUGAGGCUCGAAAGUGUGGGUAUCAAACAGGAUUAGAUACCCCAGUAGUC